AGUCAACUUGGAAUCGAUCACUCCUAGUAAGAGGAGAUCGCAUCCUGUGUAUUCUUAAUCCAAGAUGACUUGAGAAAAGACUUUUGGCCAAAAGCAGAAAAGAGAUUAGAAAAAGUUUCUAAUACUUCUUCAUUGGAGUCAUCAUUGGUUAAUUGAGAAUCGAUAUGAAUAUAUAUUUGAGUUUGACAUAAGUUCAUACUCAUGAACAUAUUCAGGAUGUAGGG
rnacentral:lncRNA from 1 species